UACGUAGGGUGCAAGCGUUAUCCGGAUUUACUGGGCGUAAAGAGUUCGUAGGUGGAUUGUUAAGUGGCGGGUUAAAUCUUGGGGCUCAACCCCAAGCCAGCUCGUCAUACUGGCAGUCUAGAGUAUGUUCGGGGAAACUAGAAUUCUCGGUGUAGGGGUGAAAUCCGUUGAUAUCGAGAGGAACGCCAAGGGCGAAAGCAGGUUUCUAGGGCAUUACUGACACUGAGGGACGAAAGCUAGGGUAGCAAAC
rnacentral:rRNA from 1 species